CCUACGGGUGGCAGCAGUGAGGAAUAUUGGUCAAUGGGCGAGAGCCUGAACCAGCCAAGUCGCGUGAAGGAUGACGGCCCUAAGGGUUGUAAACUUCUUUUUUCAGGGAGCAAUUGAGUCCACGUGUGGGCUUAGCGAGAGUACCUGAAGAAAAAGCAGCGGCUAACUCCGUGCCAGCAGCCGCGGUAAUACGGAGGAUGCGAGCGUUAUCCGGAUUUAUUGGGCUUAAAGGGUGCGGAGCCGGACCAUGAAGUCAGCGGUAAAAAUUCGGUGCUAAACCCCGUCGUGCCGUUGAAACUGCUGUUCUUGAGUGGGCGAGAAGUAUGCGGAAUGCGUGGUGUAGCGGUGAAAUGCAUAGAUAUCACGCAGAACUCCGAUUGCGAAGGCAGCAUACCGGCGCCCAACUGACGCUGAAGCACGAAAGCGUGGGUAUCGAACAGGAUUAGAUACCCUAGUAGUC
rnacentral:rRNA from 1 species